CCUAGGGGCGCGCACCCGUCUGCGCCUGCGCCUGUGAGUCUUCCGCGAAGACAGCCUGUGGCUCACUCCCGCCCGUUUGGCGUAUUUGGAGACUGAGGCCCGGGGGGCUCCUGCAGCAACUGGAGCUGCGGGGCUGGUUGCCACCUUCCUCCUCCCACACCCGGCAGUCACCGGGAGGCCUCGGGGACUGCGUGAGGACGGGGGUGCGAGGCGCCCCUCGCCGGGGUUGGGGUUCCUGGCUCCCAGGCUGCGCGGGUCCACGUGCCCCGGCCCUGUGGAAACCUGUGGCACUCGCGGGGCCACGGCGGAAGGUCCGAAGGCGGGAGGCUUGCUGUGUCCCCGCACUGGCCUCGGCGCCCCGGCGGCCGCAGUGACGCGCGGGCUCAUACCUGGGCCCGGAGCAGACGCCGGGGAGCUGGCCGCAGAUGAAGCAAAGGAGGAGGUGGCCUGGGGACCCCGGGGUGAGGCGGGGGCCGUGGGGGUGGGGCCCAGGGUUGGGGACGGCCGCCCAGAAGGGAGGUCACAGUGGUCUCUAAUGAGCUGGCCUUUAAGCUGAGAUCCAGUUGAGGCGGAGGAGAUCCCGCUCUCAGGCACCUGAACAGAGGACCGUUGCAGUCCCUCUGUGUUCCGUGUGCUGGAGGCCUGGCUCUGCCCACCACCCUCAGGUCUUCUUGCCUCUUCCCUUGUGCUGCUGUGAGGGGUUGGGCUUGUGGGAAAGUGUCCCUGCAGCACAGUGCCCUGGGUAUUGUGGAGGUCGGGAAUCAACCUGAUUUGUGCAGGCCGAGGCCCGGGGGCAGGGCCUGAGGGGUGGGAUCACUGGGCCUGGCCCAGGCCUCCUGCGCCCCUUUGCUGCCCCCAUCACCUACGUUGCUUGCCCCUUGGGCAGGGCGUCCUCACUGCCUCUGGAGGCUGCGAUGGGCAGAUCUCUCCCCCAGGGCUGCACCUGCGGGGGCUACGAAGGUCCCCAAAAGCGGUGACCCUCCUGCCCCCAAAUUUAGUCCCUUUUUCUGCCUGGGGCUCCCUUCCGAAAUCUCACCUCUGUGAAGCUGUGGCAGGGUUGUCUGUUUAGGGGAAGGACGUCUCCCACCCUACAGGCAUCUCAGAUACUCUUGGAAAGCCCCAGGGAGGGUUGUGGAUGCCUGUGGAACCUUCUGGUUGUGCUGCCUCUCCCUGCUCAGCCAGAGCGGGGCCAUGUGCGGACAUUUCACGGGGGUUACAUGUGGUUAUGGCCUCUUUAGGGCUGAAGGGACCUGGCUUUGGUUCUCUGCUGGCAGAGCGUGGCCAGGGGUGGCUCCAGGGUCACUGAGCGGGGAUUGUGUGGGAACCAGAGCCUGCCUCCCCUUCCUUUAAAAUACUUUUUAUUUAUUUAUUUAUUUUUGAGAUGGAGUCUUGCUCUGUCGCCCAUACUGGAGUGCAGUGACACAAUCUUGGCUCACUGCAAUCUCCGCCUCCCGGGUUCAAGCAAUUCUCCUGCCUCAGCCUCCCAAGUAGCUGGGAUUACAGGCGCCUGCCCCUAUGCCCAGCUAAUUUUUGUAUUUUUAGUGGAGACAGGGUUUCACCAUGUUGGCCAUGGCUGGUCUCGAACUCCUGACCUCAGGUGAUCCACCCGCCUCGGCCUCCCAAGGUGCUGGGAUUACAAGUGUGAGCCACCGUGCCUGGCCCCUUUAAAAUAUAUAUUUUUUAAUGUGAAAAAAUGCAGACAGGAAAGAGUGUAUGUCAGAUACAUGCACAGUUUAAAAAGUAAUAAAAUGGAUUCCUGUAUAGCCAGCCCUAGGGUUAAGAAAUGUACCUUCCCCAGCCUGGGCAACAUAAUCUCUACAAAAAUUUUACAAAGAUAGCCAGGUGUGGUGGCACACACCUGUAGUCCCAGCUACUUGGGAGGCUGAGGUGGGAGGAUCGCUUGGGCCCAGAAGUUCAAGGUUACAGUGACCUAGUAGGACUGUGCCACUGCACUCCAGCCUGGGUGACAGAGUGAGACCCUGUCUGAAAAUAAUAAUAAUAAAAAGUCCCUUCCUGCUGAUUCUGUGCUCCUGGUUUGGGCUCCCCACCACCACCGGGGCAAAGAUGAUGUCUUCAGGCCAAACAGGCGCAGGGGAGCCCAGGUAGUCACACCCAGAUUUCUGCCCCUGGAAGGAGACCCACUAGGGAGUUAAGAAGUGUCAGGCAGUGAGUUCCUGGGGUAAUUGAGGCCCAGGUGCUCCCCCAACGCUGCCUAGGGAGUAGGGAUCCCUUUCUCUCUCCUCUGAGGUCCCUGGGAUCAGAUGAGGUUUAGCCAAGAGGGGUGGGAUGAGCUGACUGGAGGGAGGGGUUUGGGGGCCAGGCUGGGCAGGGACCCUCCAGCCUUCGUGGCCGCCUCCAUUGUCAGUCUCAAAGACGCCAGCUCAGGUUGGGCUGGGCUUCUCUCCUCUGGGGGUGGCUGCACCCGAGAACCAGGUCAGAGACAGGGAUGCCAAACAACAGAACGGGCUGGCCUCCUAGGGAAGGUGGCUGGAAGGACAGAUGGGCUGUCUGGGGCAAAGGAGCAGGAAUACCCAUGUGGGAGACCUAGUAGGCAGCCAUUGUGGCUAGGUGAAGGGGACCCCAGCCCACCUCAGGCCUGGCAGGCACUUUGGUCAACCUCUGAGUGCAGGGCUAUGAAGUGUGCGGCAUUUGAGCCAGGCCACAGAUGUUCAGAGAGGUCUCACACGUACCUGAUGUCACACAGCUAGGAUGGAACCCCUCUGGAGCUUGACUACUCCAUGCCCAAGUCUGCUUAUUGCCAACACCUUUACUCUUUCCCCAGCCCUGCCCUCCCUCUUGGGGAACAAGCACUUUGGUGCCUCUGCAGACUGCAAUGUUAUCUUGGAUUCCUCCAGUGAUGGGGAGCUCACUACUACACCAGGCAUCCCAGGACAGAGUUCACCUCUCUGGAUAUCCUGCCCCACUCUGUCUCCAACAUGGUUGCUCUGCCCGCUCUCUCUGUUGGGAGACUCUAGGUGGGCUAAAGCUGGAGAAUCACACUGCAAGAUGCCAGGGUGUUCUGCAGGGUGGCGCUGCCUCCACCAGAGUCAGUACUUCCUCCUCACGCUCAGGGCUUAGUCCAAACACUCAACCUCUAAGACCUGUGGCAGGAAGAACUCAUACCCUUAAAGACUUCUCUGGGGGGUGAGGUGGGGAUAGGACCCUGCUGUCCCCUCUGCCUGGCCCUGUUUCCUUCUUCCCCAGACCCCUACCCAAAGCCUACCCUCUGGCUGGUCACACCACAGGACCUGGAGCACGCCACAGGAAUUAUUACGGCUAUGCUGACUGCAUGGGCCCUGGGAGAAGCCCCCACCUCCCAGCUCAGGGUGGCCCUGCCCUGCCUUCUGGGCCUGGGCUGGGGUCUGGGGUCAUUCGGGAAGCCGGUGGCCAGUGGUGAGGGUCCCAGCGGCUUGCCUGCACUACACAGUGGCUUAGGAAAUUACAGUUGAGUUCCGUGAACUCCAGGGAGUUUGCUCACAGUCGUCUGAUUUCUGGUCCUUUUAAAGCAUCACCUGUUUCCCCUUAUAUUCACUCCGGCCUCAGUUUCCCCAUCUCCUGCCAGCCCUCCAAACCUCAGAUGAAAGCCUAGAGCUGCACAUGUCCCUCCCCUGGACUAGCUCUCAGGGGACCUUGUUUUCCCAGGCAGGCUGGCUUCUCAGGGAAAGGACUGUUUUCUCUCUGGUUCCAGCCUAUUGUCAUGCCUGGGUGGACAAAUGGGGAGCCGGUGAGGUGAGCACCCUGGGGAGGGAUUGCAGAAAAGCACAUCUUGGCUCUUCUUAACCUCUGAGUGACAUUUAGCAUUUCCUCCCAUCUUAAAUGCAAGCAGCAUUCCCCAAAAGCAGUAUUAGCAAUACCUGUGGUUUUUGUUGCUGAAAUAUCAGAACUUUUCAUCUCAGAGCUGUUGCAUGAAAUCUGUAAAUAUUUUCUCUCUUUUUUAUUUUUAUUUUUAAAGACAAGGUAUUGCUUUGUUGCUUGGGCUGGUAUUGAACUGGGAAAAUGACCCUCCUAACCCAGCCUCCCAAAAUGCUGGCAGUACAGGGGGGUACCACCACGCCUGGCUGGAAAUAUUGUUUAUACUCCUCGAUCAACUGGAGUGACAGAGGCGGCCUGGUUUUAUCAUUUCAGGUGCUAAUAACAAAAGAAGUUCUGACUCUGGGUACAUGUACCGAUCCACUCCUCCUAUCAGGAUAACAAAAUACCUGGCAUCCCCAAAGUGACAUGCCACAAGUCUUAAAGUGUCUGAUGGCACCAUUUCCCCAGUCCCGUGCAUCACUUAUCGUAGGCAUUGGUGAAACCCCACUUGUCAGCUAGAGUGGUCCCUGCCUGCACACAUGAGCCUUCUGCCUGUCCUGGACUCAGACAGUGGCCCUGACUGUGGGCCUCUGCCUACUUUCGGACACUCCCUUCUGCCCGUGGGACUUGGGCAAGUUGUCUACCUGCCAACUCCCCACCCUAGUACCUCCCCCUCCUUCCUUCCUUCCCUCCCUCCCUCCCUCCUUCCCUCCUUCCUUCCUUCCUUCCUUCUUUCUGUCACCCCAGCUGGAGUGCAGUGGCAUGAUCAUGGCUACUUGAGCCUUGAGACCCCCGGGGGGAUCCUGGGGGAGAGGGAUCUUUCCGGUCUACUUCCAGGCUGGAUGUCAGAACCUGGGAUUCUGUAAAGUGACCAACUUUGCCCUACAGCUCAAGGCCUGCCUGGGAUCUCCUUGGCCACCGUCGAGACCUGUAUCUGAGCUCAGAGCCCUGGGAAUGCACUGGGUGCUGCCCCACGGCUUUGAAGAGACAUGGCUGAAGGUGUGGAGCUACUUUGCUCUAGGGCCUUUUUGAGUCAGAGCUCUCUGGGGGCAACCAGGGACUGGGAGACAGACGGGGUCUGUGGCAGGGGACACAGCCAGGCCAGUGGCAGGGGCCAACACAGAACAGAUUGCAUCUCCAAAUGUGGAAGCAUCUUGGCAGUGAGCUACCAUUGCUGUGGGCAUACAAGAGGCUAAGCAGACUUUUGACAAAAGGCUCUGCUUGUCGGGGGUUGUUGGCAUCAAGUAAGGCUUGUUUAAGGCGAUCCUUGUGCGGCAGGAAGUCAGAGAUGGGAGAGAUGUGUUGGUGAGGAAAGCUGGUUGGGGGGCUUCCCUUUGUCCUUAGAGAAUGACUGAGUGUGCCCCGUUUGGGAAGGGCCAUGUGGGUGAAGGGGCAGGGGUCUCAUCUGGAUGAGGCCUGGAGGUGGGUGCGAGAGAGGUUCCACAUGGAGGUGUGAUGAGGACACCAGCAGGAGGCUGACCAGGGCAUGGGGCCAUGGCAACGCCUGGGUGACGUCCCUAUGAGGUGGCGGGGCUGGGAGUGAGGAAGGGCCAGGCCCCCACGGAUGGGGGAAAGGGAGAGGCACAUUGUGAAGGUGCCUGCCGGGCUCCUCCUGGGUGAAGCUUUUCUCUUGAGACCCACCUCCAGGUUUUAGGGGGCUGGGGUCUGCACCUCUCUUUCAGGGCUUCCUUUUCACCUUCCAAGCUUCCAGGCAGAGGCUAGCAGGAG
rnacentral:lncRNA from 1 species